rnacentral:rRNA from 1 species
GCAUAUCAAUAAGCGGAGGAAAAGAAACUAACAAGGAUUCCCCUAGUAACGGCGAGUGAAGCGGGAAGAGCUCAAAUUUGUAAUCUGGCACUUUCAGUGUCCGAGUUGUAAUCUCGAGAAGUGUUUUCCGUGUCGGACCGCAUAUAAGUCUGUUGGAAUACAGCGUCAUAGUGGUGAGAACCCCGUAACUGAUGCGGAUGCCCGGUGCUUUGUGAUACACUUUCGAAGAGUCGAGUUGUUUGGGAAUGCAGCUCAAAUUGGGUGGUAAAUUCCAUCUAAAGCUAAAUAUUGGCGAGAGACCGAUAGCGAACAAGUACCGUGAGGGAAAGAUGAAAAGCACUUUGGAAAGAGAGUUAACAGUACGUGAAAUUGUUGGAAGGGAAACGCUUGAAGUCAGACUUGCUAUUUGGAAUUCAGCCGCAAGGUGUAUUUUUCAAUUUGCAGGCCAGCAUCAGUUUUUGGGGGUGGAAAAGGGUAGAGAGAAGGUAGCAGUUUAGGCUGUGUUAUAGCUCUUUGCUGGAUUCAUCUUUAGGGACUGAGGAACGCAGUACGCUUUUUGCAAGGCUUUAGAGCUUUUCGUACUUAGGAUGCUGGUGGAAUGGCUUUAAACGACCCGUCUUGAAACACGGACCAAGGAGUCUAACAUGCUUGCGAGUGUUUGGGUGUUAAACCCGGACGCGCAAUGAAAGUGAAUGGAGGUGGGAAGCGCAAGCUGCACCAUCGACCGAUCUGGAUUUUUUAAGAUGGAUUUGAGUAAGAGCAAUUAUGUUGGGACCCGAAAGAUAGUGAACUAUGCCUGAAUAGGGCGAAGCCAGAGGAAACUCUGGUGGAGGCUCGUAGCGGUUCUGACGUGCAAAUCGAUCGUCAAAUUUGGGUAUAGGGGCGAAAGACUAAUCGAACUAUCUAGUAGCUGGUUCCUGCCGA